AUUGGGAUAAUUGGGUCAAAUGGUGGUUCCAUUCCAAGUUUUCUAAGGAAUCUCCAUACUUCUUUUCAGAGUGGUUGCACCAAUUUGUAGUUCCAUCAGCAAU
rnacentral:pre_miRNA from 1 species